rnacentral:rRNA from 1 species
GACGAACCACCCAAACGUUAUUCGGAAUUACUGGGCUUAAAGAGUGCGUAGGCGGCCUUGUAAGUAGGGUGUGAAAUCCCUCGGCUCAACCGGGGAACUGCGUCUGAUACUGGGUGGCUUGAAUCCGGGAGAGGGAUGCGGAAUUCCAGGUGUAGCGGUGAAAUGCGUAGAUAUCUGGAGGAACACCGGUGGCGAAGGCGGCAUCCUGGACCGGCAUUGACGCUGAGGCGCGAAAGCCAGGGGAGCAAACGGG